rnacentral:rRNA from 2 species
GUUGUAAUCUGGAGAAGCAUUUUCCGCGUCGGACCGUGUACAAGUUUCUUGGAAUAGAACGUCAUAGAGGGUGAGAAUCCCGUCCAUGACACGGACUACCGAUGCUUUGUGAUAUGCUCUCGAAGAGUCGAGUUGUUUGGGAAUGCAGCUCAAAAUGGGUGGUAAAUUCCAUCUAAAGCUAAAUAUUGGCGAGAGACCGAUAGCGAACAAGUACCGUGAGGGAAAGAUGAAAAGCACUUUGGAAAGAGAGUUAAACAGUACGUGAAAUUGUUGAAAGGGAAACGCUUGAAGUCAGUCGCGUUGGCAGAGACUCAGCCUUGCUUUGCAUGGUGUACUUCUCAGUUAACGGGUCAACAUCAAUUUCAGUUGGUGGAUAAAGGCAUUGGGAAUGUGGCACCUUCGGGUGUGUUAUAGACCUUUGUUGCAUACACUGACCGGGAUUGAGGAACGCAGCACGCCACUACGGCCAGGGAUUCGUCCCAUGUAACGUGCUUAGGAUGUUGGCAUAAUGGCUUUAAGCGACCCGUCUUGAAACACGGACCAAGGAGUCUAACAUGCCUGCGAGUAUUAGGGUGGAAAACCCUUGUGCGUAAUUAACGUGAAAGUUGGGACCUCUUGCGAGGGCACCGACGCCCGGCCCUGAAGUUUACUGACGGCGCUGCGGUAGAGCAUGUAUGUUGGGACCCGAAAGAUGGUGAACUAUGCCUGAAUAGGGUGAAGCCAGGGGAAACUCUGGUGGAGGCUCGUAGCGAUUCUGACGUGCAAAUCGAUC